rnacentral:rRNA from 1 species
ACUGAGCGGCGGACGGGUGAGUAACGCGUGGGUAACCUGCCUUACACAGGGGGAUAACAGUUAGAAAUGACUGCUAAUACCGCAUAAGACCCCGGUACCGCAUGGUACAGAGGUAAAAACUGAGGUGGUGUAAGAUGGACCCGCGUCUGAUUAGGUAGUUGGUGAGGUAACGGCCCACCAAGCCGACGAUCAGUAGCCGGCCUGAGAGGGUGGACGGCCACAUUGGGACUGAGACACGGCCCAGACUCCUACGGGAGGCAGCAG